rnacentral:rRNA from 1 species
UACGUAGGGACCGAGCGUUGUCCGGAUUCAUUGGGCGUAAAGAGCUCGUAGGCGGCCACUCAAGUCGAAUGUGAAACCUCGAGGCUUAACCUCGAGCCUGCAUUCGAUACUGGGCGGCUAGAGUCUGGUAGGGGGAUCUGGAAUUCCUGGUGUAGCGGUGGAAUGCGCAGAUAUCAGGAGGAACACCGGCGGCGAAGGCGGGAUCCUGGGCCAGUACUGACGCUGAGGAGCGAAAGCGUGGGGAGCAAACAGG